GUGAAUCAUCGAAUCUUUGAACGCAUCUUGCGCUCCUUGGUAUUCCGAGGAGCAUGCCUGUUUGAGUGUCAUUAAUAUAUCAAUCCUCUUCAGCUUUUUGCAUGUCGAGUGUUGGAUGUGGGGGUUUUUGCUGGACUCUCUUGAGGUCAGCUCUCCUAAAAUACAUUAGCAAAACAAUUUGUUUACCGCUCAUUGGUGUGAUAACUAUCUACGCUAUUGACAGUAAAUCACAGUUUAGCUUCUAACUGUCCAUUAAAUUUGGACAACCUUUUAUUCAAUGUGACCUCAAAUCAGGUAGGAUUACCCGCUGAACUUAAGCAUAUCAAUAAGCGGAGG
rnacentral:rRNA from 1 species